rnacentral:rRNA from 1 species
GUGUCAGCAGCCGCGGUAAUACGUAGGGGGCGAGCGUUGUCCGGAUUUAUUGGGCGUAAAGAGCGCGUAGGCGGCUCGCCAAGUCGUGCGUGAAAUACCCCGGCUCAACCGGGGGGAGUCGUGCGAUACUGGCGGGCUUGAGGCCGGUAGGGGGAAGUGGAAUUCCCGGUGUAGUGGUGGAAUGCGUAGAUAUCGGGAGGAACACCAGUGGCGAAGGCGGCUUCCUGGACCGGUCCUGACGCUGAGGCGCGAAAGCGUGGGGAGCGAACUGAAUUAGAUACUCAGGUAGUCCACGCUGUAAACGAUGGAUGCUAGGUGUCGGGGGUAUCGACCCCUCCGGUGCCGCAGCUAACGCAUUAAGCAUCCCGCCUGGGGAGUACGGCCGCAAGGCUAAA